rnacentral:rRNA from 1 species
AUUGGGGUAGCAAUACUUCAGAUGGCGACCGGCGCACGGGUGAGUAACACGUAUCCAACCUGCCGCUUACUCGGGGAUAGCCUUUCGAAAGAAAGAUUAAUACCCGAUGGUAUAAAGAGUUCGCAUGUUCUCUUUAUUAAAGAAUUUCGGUAAGCGAUGGGGAUGCGUUCCAUUAGAUAGUUGGCGGGGUAACGGCCCACCAAGUCUACGAUGGAUAGGGGUUCUGAGAGGAAGGUCCCCCACAUUGGAACUGAGACACGGUCCAAACUCCUACGGGAGGCAGCAGUGAGGAAUAUUGGUCAAUGGACGAGAGUCUGAACCAGCCAAGUAGCGUGAAGGAUGACUGCCCUAUGGGUUGUAAACUUCUUUUAUAAGGGAAUAAAGUGAGGGACGUGUCCCUUUUUGUAUGUACCUUAUGAAUAAGGAUCGGCUAACUCCGUGCCAGCAGCCGCGGUAAUACGGAGGAUCCGAGCGUUAUCCGGAUUUAUUGGGUUUAAAGGGAGCGUAGGUUGACAUAUAAGUCAGCUGUGAAAGUUUACGGCUCAACCGUGAAAUUGCAGUUGAUACUGUAUGUCUUGAGUGUACAAGAGGUGGGCGGAAUUCGUGGUGUAGCGGUGAAAUGCUUAGAUAUCACGAAGAACUCCAAUUGCGAAGGCAGCUCACUGGGGUACAACUGACACUGAGGCUCGAAAGUGUGGGUAUCAAACAGGAUUAGAUACCCUGGUAGUCCACACAGUAAACGAUGAAUACUCGCUGUUUGCGAUAUACAGUAAGCGGCCAAGCGAAAGCAUUAAGUAUUC